CAGCAACAAGCACCAUUUUUUCAUUAACAGCCUGUAAAAAUUGUCAAGCAAAACACAACGUUGCCUUACUGAUUUUCUAUUAAUCAAAAUCAAAAGAAAAUUAAAAUCCGAGAAAUAUCAAACUUUCAAACGGACCAAAAACAGCUGUACAAACGCACCACAAACGUAUUCCAGCGCAGAAAGCACAUUUUAAGCGAGCACAAAGAUGGAGAAUAACGAGGCGCCCGCACCUUCCGGUUCCAACAACAAUGAUUUUCCCAUACUUCCGCCGCCGCCGAAUGCAUCGUCAUCCAACUACAACAUCUACAACGACCCGGCCAACAGCAACAACAAUGCUGCACAGAAACGCCUGCAGCAGACACAGGCCAAAGUGGACGAAGUGGUGGGCAUAAUGCGCGUCAAUGUCGAGAAGGUGCUCGAACGUGAUCAGAAACUAUCGGAGCUGGGCGAGCGAGCCGAUCAGCUAGAGCAGGGCGCCUCACAGUUCGAACAGCAGGCGGGCAAACUGAAGCGCAAACAAUGGUGGGCCAACAUGAAGAUGAUGAUCAUUCUCGGCGUCAUUGCCGUCGUCUUGCUGAUCAUUAUAAUAGUGUCGAUUUACAAUUGAUAAACAAAAGAAAAAGUUAAAGCAAAAGCAAAAAUAAUAUGCAGCAGGGCAACUUGUUGCGCUUAAUCCAAUACAUACGCAUAAUUCUAAGGCUAUCAACAACAUCAGCUACACGUAUUUAGAAACACAUAUACAUAUAUAUAUGUAUAUAUACAUGUGCACACACAGCUCAUCCAUAUGUGUGUGUGUGUGUGUAUGUAGAACAAAAUUUUAGUUUAAGCAAAAAAGUAUGCGCUUUGCCCUCCGGCAGCAGCAGCAGCAGCGAUCAUGUCACAAAAUCCGUGACCGAGGCACCCCAUUAGAUGGAACCCCAAC
rnacentral:misc_RNA from 1 species